UUUUGCCCAUGUAUGUUUGUAUAAAUUAUUCUAAGUAGUAGCUCCACAAGCGAGAAAGAGCCAAGGAACGAGUCGACUAGAUCCAAUGGCUGCCUACGGCCAUAUCGUUACUGGCGAACUCUUUUCCUGGCAGUGGCCUCGUGAUUUGCCGGUCGCGUUCACUAUUUCUGUCGCACCUAUCCACUCUUCUCGGAAGAUCAAAAGCUGUGCUACUAUUUUACUGUGACUACCGUCUGUCCGGACUACCUCGCAGCCUCAUGCUCUAAAGCCUCUUUUGGACACUACUGCAGAAGUUAAGAGGUGUACGGUGACGAAAAGUUGACUUAUUUCUACGACAAGCGAGAAGUUCACAGCUGCCACUUCGGAUAGAAUAAAACUGCUCACUUAUAGAGCUGCUCAAAUACACCUGUGACAAUAUUUAACAGUAACAGGGGAAUCCUAUUCCUGAAUAAGUAUUCCCGUAUCUAAAUUCAUUUCGCGCCAUUUCAAUGGGCAUGGACAAUGCUACUGGUAUGAGGAUAUCACGUAGAAACGCGUAAGAGAAUGAGGAUUGAUAUCCAACAAAGUGACAUGGGUUACCUGUUCGAUUCAAAGCACUUAGUUCACGAGUUGGCAGCGAUCAUCUGGGAGAUUCGCCGAACAAGGUCGUCGAGACUGGCAAAAUAAAGAUGUGGAAAGAACAAUUACCUGCACCAGUUACGUGAGGCUCCUGGAAGUCGAUUCUACUUUUAUUAUGUUCAGUUAGCGUCCUUUAACAGGCUCAAUGGGGCAUGUUGUGCCUUAGCUACCGAAAUUUCAAAAAAAGAUAUCGUUUUUAUUGUGAAAUACAACAUUUACCUGAAACUGUUACAUUAAAAUGUGAGCAAUAACUGGAAGAAUACAUUUCUAGAAUUUAUUUAGCAUAAUGCUGGUAAUCUUUUGCAAGUUGUUUUUCAAAAAAGGUACAUAGAACUUCAUCAUCUAUUGUCGGGUUUUCGAGUUAAAACCGUUGUGCUGCCCAGAUAUUGUUUAAUAAAU